UACGUAGGCAGCGAGCGUUGUUCGGAGUUACUGGGAGUAAAGCGUGCGCAGGCGGUGAGCUGUGUCCGAUGUGAAAGCCCCGGGCUUAACCUGGGAAUGGCAUUGGAAACUGGCUCGCUGGAGUGUGGCAGAGGGGGGUGGAAUUCCGCGUGUAGCAGUGAAAUGCGUAGAGAUGCGGAGGAACACCGAUGGCGAAGGCAGCCCCCUGGGCUAACACUGACGCUCAGGCACGAAAGCGUGGGGAGCAAACAGG
rnacentral:rRNA from 1 species